GCCGCCGUAGCUCAGCUGGUGGAGCGUGUGGCUGUUAACCACAUGGUCGCAGGUUCGAAUCCUGCCGGCGGCG
rnacentral:tRNA from 1 species